rnacentral:rRNA from 1 species
AUUGAACGCUGGCGGAAUGCUUUACACAUGCAAGUCGAACGGCAGCACGGGGGCAACCCUGGUGGCGAGUGGCGAACGGGUGAGUAAUAUAUCGGAACGUGCCCAGUCGUGGGGGAUAACGUAGCGAAAGUUACGCUAAUACCGCAUACGAUCUACGGAUGAAAGCGGGGGAUCGCAAGACCUCGCGCGAUUGGAGCGGCCGAUAUCAGAUUAGGUAGUUGGUGAGGUAAAGGCUCACCAAGCCAACGAUCUGUAGCUGGUGUGAGAGGACGCCCAGCCACAUUGGGACGGAGACACGGCCCAGACUCCUACGAGAGGCAGCAGUGGGGAAUUUUGGACAAUGGGCGCAAGCCUGAUCCAGCCAUUCCGCGUGCAGGACGAAGGCCUUCGGGUUGUAAACUGCUUUUGUACGGAACGAAAAAGCCUUGGCUAAUACCCAGGGUCCAUGACGGUACCGUAAGAAUAAGCACCGGCUAACUACGUGCCAGCCGCCGCGGUAA